rnacentral:rRNA from 1 species
GAUGAACGCUGGCGGCGUGCCUAAUACAUGCAAGUCGAGCGAACAGAUGAGGAGCUUGCUCCUCUGAUGUUAGCGGCGGACGGGUGAGUAACACGUGGAUAACCUACCUAUAAGACUGGGAUAACUUCGGGAAACCGGAGCUAAUACCGGAUAAUAUAUUGAACCGCAUGGUUCAAUAGUGAAAGACGGUUUUGCUGUCACUUAUAGAUGGAUCCGCGCCGCAUUAGCUAGUUGGUUAGGUAACGGCUUACCAAGGCAACGAUGCUUAGCCGACCUGAGAGGGUGAUCGGCCAGACUGGAACUGAGACACGGUCCAGACUCCGACGGGAGGCAGCAGUAGGGAAUCUUCCGCAAUGGGCGAAAGCCUGACGGAACAACGCCGCGUAAGUGAUGAAGGUCUUCGGAUCGUAAAACUCUGUUAUUAGGGAAGUACAAAUGUGUAAGUAACUAUGCACGUCUUGACGGUACCAGAUCAGAAAGCCACGGCUAACUACGUG